AUUGAACGCUGGCGGCAUGCCUUACACAUGCAAGUCGAACGGUAACGCGGGGCAACCUGGCGACGAGUGGCGAACGGGUGAGUAAUGCAUCGGAACGUGCCCAGUAGUGGGGGAUAGCCCGGCGAAAGCCGGAUUAAUACCGCAUACGACCUACGGGUGAAAGGGGGGGAUCGCAAGACCUCUCGCUAUUGGAGCGGCCGAUGUCAGAUCAGGUAGUUGGUGGGGUAAAAGCCUACCAAGCCGACGAUCUGUAGCUGGUCUGAGAGGACGACCAACCACACUGGGACUGAGACACGGCCCAGACUCCUACGGGAGGCAGCAGUGGGGAAUUUUGGACAAUGGGGGAAACCCUGAUCCAGCCAUGCCGCGUGCGGGAAGAAGGCCUUCGGGUUGUAAACCGCUUUUGUCAGGGAAGAAACGCUCUGGGCUAAUACCUUGGAGUAAUGACGGUACCUGAAGAAUAAGCACCGGCUAACUACGUGCCAGCCGCCGCAGUAA
rnacentral:rRNA from 1 species